rnacentral:lncRNA from 1 species
GAAUCUAGUAUAUAUUUGAGAGCGCUCUCAUUCAAGGCUUUUAGGGCCAGGACUCUACUACCUCUCUCUGUAUAUAUAUUACCACAGAGUACAUAACUACACUUCUGCAUUUCGAAAUAUUCUUCUUUGUUUUGACACUUGAAAGGAGGGGAGAGGAGGGAGAAGAAAGAAUAGAGAAAAGCAAGGAGAAGAAAGUCCAUCAUUCGGAUGAGUGUUCCUCACUCCUUGACAAAUUACUCCUCCUCGUAGAUCAUUCCUUUGUUGUGGGUCAGACUCACCAGUUGGAAUUCGAAAAGAGAGUUCUAGUAGCUGUAAAUGUUUUACUACAAUAUCAUAAAAUGAUGUAUAACAAACAAAGACCCAAAAUCAGAAGUUCAUCAGAGAUAGCCAAUUCUUCUUCUCAACUACGGAAUAAUUAUUCAAUAAGAAUUCUGGGGAAUUGUUUACAGUUUAAAAUUAUCCCAUUUGAAUUCUCCUAACUCAGGGUUCUGAUAAAUGAAAAAGAGUCAUCAAAGUAAACAGCUGACAAUAUAAUAAGAGAGAAAAAAUCAUAAAAUGUCAUCAUAUCAAAAUCUCUUCCUUCUCCGUCAAAUUCCAUCUCUCUCACGUACGAUUGAUUUUAUACCUAUAUAAAAAAAAUCAAGAUUAUUUUUAAUUAUACAUGCAUAAAAAAUACUUAUACCAAGUAAGGAGAUACAUCACUGGUUAAUUUUGAAGGAAAAAGUUCUUCUUUUAAGGAUAAAAAAUGGCAAAUCUAACCAUUAUUCUCACAACCUCAACAUGAAAAUACCGAUGAAGUUUUAAAACUCUUGACAGGUCAUAUUGUGGACAAAGGAGCUGUGCUCCUCUCUCCUGCCAAAUAUUUUCAAAGUGCCCCAUAUAUAAAUAUUUGUUUGAAAUGAAUAAAAACAAGAUAAACUGUAACAAAUUUAUUAUUGUAAAUUGGCAGUAAAUUUUGUAAAUCUGUUGUAUAUAGGCGGUAUUAUCUACAGACUUUUGUACAGCCUCAUGUACCUUUGGCAUUUAUUGUAUGACGUUAUCUAGAGUUUGAAUAAAAUCUGAUUUUAAAUGGA